rnacentral:rRNA from 1 species
AUUGCCUCAGUAACGGCGAGUGAAGCGGCAACAGCUCAAAUUUGAAAUCUGGCCCCAGGCCCGAGUUGUAAUUUGCAGAGGAUGCUUUUGACAAGGUGCCUUCCGAGUUCCCUGGAACGGGACGCCAUAGAGGGUGAGAGCCCCGUCUGGUCGGACACCGAGUCUCUGUAAAGCUCCUUCGACGAGUCGAGUAGUUUGGGAAUGCUGCUCUAAAUGGGAGGUAUAUGUCUUCUAAAGCUAAAUACCGGCCAGAGACCGAUAGCGCACAAGUAGAGUGAUCGAAAGAUGAAAAGCACUUUGAAAAGAGAGUUAAACAGCACGUGAAAUUGUUGAAAGGGAAGCGUUUAUGACCAGACUUGGGCCGGUUGAUCAUCCAGCGUUCUCGCUGGUGCACUCUGCCGGUCCAGGCCAGCAUCAGUUUGCCGCGGGGGACAAAGGUUUCGGGAAUGUGGCUCCUCUGGAGUGUUAUAGCCCGUUGCGUAAUACCCUGCGGUGGACUGAGGUCCGCGCUUCUGCAAGGAUGCUGGCGUAAUGGUCAUCAACGACCCGUCUUGAAACACGGACCAAGGAGUCGUCUUCGUAUGCGAGUGUUCGGGUGUAAAACCCCUACGCGUAAUGAAAGUGAACGCAGGUGAGAGCUUCGGCGCAUCAUCGACCGAUCCUGAUGUUCUCGGAUGGAUUUGAGUAAGAGCAUACGGGGCCGGACCCGAAAGAAGGUGAACUAUGCCUGUAUAGGGUGAAGCCAGAGGAAACUCUGGUGGAGGCUCGCAGCGGUUCUGACGUGCAAAUCGAUCGUCAAAUAUGGGCAUGGGGGCGAAAGACUAAU